rnacentral:lncRNA from 1 species
UAAUGUGCAUACUAAUUUCUGAAUUUACAGUAUAUUGUGUGCUAUUUAUUUGAUAAGUCAAUUGUUAAAAAUUGUUACUGCCAAUGAGGAUAAAUAAUGAUUUUUAUGUUUCUGAACUGUAAAGCUAAGGUGAUACAUAGGGAUCAAUUCUGUUAUCUUGAAUCUUUCAUCCACACUUUUACAAUGAGUCACUUCUUUGAAAACAGUUGACCAAAUGAGACUAAAUAUACACAAAUUCUAAUACCUCUACCGUUGUAUUGUAUUCAACUGGAUUUACACAGAUUCGUUUAUCCAAAUGUGCACCUCCAUUUAUAUAUUUUUUUUAAAGCAAUUUUAGGAGUUUUCCAUACAUGACACUUAAUCUUCUCUGGUUAUAUCAGUUGCUCAAUUUUUAGCUCACCUGUCACGACGGGACAAGUGAGCUUAUGCCAUCACUUGGCGUCCGUCGUCGUCCGUCGUCUGUCGUCUGUCGUCGUCUGUCGUCGUAAACUAUUUCAAGAAUCUUCUCCUCUGAAACUACUGGGCCAAAUACUUUCAAACUUUAACUGAAUGUUCCUUAGGGUAUCUUAUUUAUAAAUUAUAUCCGAAGUUUUGAUCUAUCAACAAACAUGGUCGCCAUUGCUAAAAAUAGAACAUAGGGGUCAAAUGCAGUUUUUGGCUUAUAACUCAAAAACCAAAGCAUUUAGAGCAAAUCUGACAUGGGGUUAUAUUGUUUAUCAGGUCAAGAUCUAUCUGCCCUGAAAUUUUCAGAUGAAUCAGACAACCCGUUGUUGGGUUGCUGCCCCUGAAUUGGUAAUUUUAAGGAAAUUUUGCUGUUUUUGGUUAUUAUCUUGAAUAUUAUUAUAGAUAGAGAUAAACUGUAAACAGGAAAAUGUUCAGCAAAGUAAGAUUUACAAAUAAGUCAACAUGAAGGAAAUGGUCAGUUGACCCCUUUAGGAGUUAUUGCCCUUUAUAGUCAAUUUUUAACCAUUUUUCGUAAAUCUUAGUAAUCUUUUACAAAAAUCUUCUCCUCUGAAACUACUGGGCCAAAUACUUCCAAACUUUAAUUGAAUGUUCCUUAGGGUAUCUAGUCUGUAAAUUGUAUCCGAAGUUAUGAUCUAUCAACAAACAUGGUCGCCAUUGCUAAAAAUAGAACAUAGGGGUCAAAUGCAGUUUUUGGCUUAUAACUCAAAAACCAAAGCAUUUAGAGCAAAUCUGACGUUGGGUAAUAUUGUUUAUCAGGUCAAGAUCUAUCUGCCCUGAAAUUUUCAGAUGAAUCAGACAACCUGUUGUUGGGUUGCUGCCCCUGAAUUGGUAAUUUUAAGGAAAUUUUGCUGUUUUUGGUUAUUAUCUUGAAUAUUAUUAUAGAUGGAGAUAAACUGUAAACAGGAAUAAUGUUCAGCAAAGUAAGAUUUACAAAUAAGUCAACAUGACGGAAAUGGUCACUUGACCCCUUUAGGAGUUAUUGCUCUUUAUAGUCAAUUUUUAACCAUUUUUCGUAAAUCUUAGUAAUCUUUUACAAAAAUCUUCUCCUCUGAAACUACUGGGCCAAAUACUUCCAAACUUUAACUGAAUGUUCCUUAGGGUAUCUAGUUUGUAAAUUGUAUCCGAAGAUAUGAUCUAUUAACAAACAUGGUCGCCAUUGCUAAAAAUAGAAUAUAGGGGUCAAAUGCAGUUUUUGGCUUAUAACUCAAAAACCAAAGCAUUUAGAGCAAAUCUGACGUGGGUAAUAUUGUUUAUCAGGUCAAGAUCUAUCUGCCCUGAAAUUUUCAGAUGAAUCAGACAACCUGUUGUUGGGUUGCUGCCCCUGAAUUGAUAAUUUUAAGGAAAUUUUGCUGUUUUUGUUUGUUAUCUUGAAUAUAAUUAUAGAUAGAAAUAAACUGUAAACAGCAAUAAUGUUCAGCAAAGUAAGAUCUUCAAUUAAGUCAAUUUGACC